ACAAUAAAACUUUUGAAUGCUACACACCAACAGUUUGAAUUUGGCAUCGCGGUUCUCCUUUUGUCUCCUAUUGUCUAUUCUAUUUUGGCCUUCCUACGGUCGCUGCAGGCUGAAGAUUUGUCCAUGACUUCAAAGCCUCGGAAGUAUGGCUUUAUCGCUUGGAUGCUGAGCACUUGUAUUGGUCUGCUGCUUUCAUUCUUAAGGUAAACCCUUCUUGUAUUAUUAAUUUUGUGUCUCAA